GACUUAGUCCCAACCUUGAAGUCAAUUAUCACUCGACUUAUACAUGCAAGUCUCCGCACCCCUGUGAAAACGCCCUCAACCCCCUCCUGGGGCCGAGGAGCAGAUAUCAGGCUCAACUCUUGCCUAAGACAUCUAGCCCCGCCACACCCACAAGGGCCCUUGCAGCAGUGAUUAAUCUUGAAUAUAAGCGACAGCUUGAUUCAGUUAGAGUGAAAUUGGAGCCGGCAAAGUUAGUGCCAGUCGCCUCGGAUAAACUACAUCAGCCCAAAUUGACUUAUCUCGGCGUAAAGCGUGAUCAAAUACACCAACACACUAGAGUUAAACACGACAAUUGUCUAACAGGAAACCCAACAACGAAAGUCACUCUACCCCCACCCUUUGACUUCACGACAACUAGGACCCAAACUGGGAACCAACCCCACUAUGCCUAGUCGUAAACUUUUACUUACACCACAACCGCC
rnacentral:rRNA from 1 species